AUUACACUGAAUCUCAAUUGCUGCUAAGAAACACGUAACAUAAAUAAUGUUUCACUGGAGGUUUAAACCCAUGGGAGUUCCUAAGGCACACGCUUACCUUAGUAGUCAGCUUGGAGAUAUGUUUCUUAACAAUGAUUAUCUUCCAUCCAGCGUGAGUUACGCCAAACAAUAGAAACUGAUGAAUCUGAUACUGAGGAAUGGGAAAGCAAUGGGGUAAGUGGGGACAUG